GUAUAGUCCCACAAAGUGGGGUCUGGGGAGGGUAAUAUGUAGACGAGCCUUACCUCGGUUAAACGCUCCUAGAGUUCAUUAAAAAAAGUAUCAAAAUAUGAAUUCGAACACUCCUGGAUAAAGACCUCGAAGCUAAUAACAACAACAACUAUCCAGUAUAGUCUCAUAAAGUGGGGUUUGAGAGGGUAAUAUGUAGAUGAGCCUUACCUCUACCCGAAAGGGCAAAGAGGCUGUUUCCAAUCGACCCUCGGCUCAGUGAAGGAAAGAAAACAAAACAAAAACAAAAACAAAAGAGCAUUAGUAACUCCAGCAGAAAUUGCAUAAAUAAUUAUAUAAACAUAAGAACCAUAAAUAAAAUAGCAUGCAAUAAUAUCAAACAGUAACUACCAUUAAUAACUACCAUAAGGAAGACACAAUCCAAUACAC
rnacentral:lncRNA from 1 species